AAGUUAUGAGGAUUGUGGGAAAAGUGUGUAAAAUGUGGCAAGUAGUUUAAUGAUUUCUGCCAUAGAACUUUCAAAAAAAUUCCUUACAGACAUCCAGCAAACCAUGGAUAAAAGAUAAAAUAAGGGCUGGGCAUGGUGACUCAUGCCUGUAAUCCCAGCACUUUGGUAGGCCAAGGCCAAGGUGGCGAGAUCAGCUGAGGUUGGGAAUUGGGAUCACCUGACCAACAUGGUGAAAUCCUGUCUCUACCAAAAAU